CCUACGGGUGGCAGCAGUGAGGAAUCUUGGUCAAUGGACGAGAGUCUGAACCAGCCAAGUAGCGUGAAGGAUGACUGCCCUCUGGGUUGUAACCUUCUUUUAUAUGGGAAUAAAAUGUUCAACGUGUGGGAUUUUGUAUGUACUAUAUGAAUAAGGAUCGGCUAACUCCGUGCCAGCAGCCGCGGUAAUACGGAGGAUCCGAGCGUUAUCCGGAUUUAUUGGGUUUAACGGGAGCGUAGGUGGAUUGUUAAGUCAGUUGUGAAAGUUUGCGGCUCAACCGUACAAUUGCAGUUGAAACUGGCAGUCUUGAGGACAGUAGAGGUAGGCGGAAUUCGUGGUGUAGCGGUGAAAUGCUUAGAUAUCACGAAGAACGCCGAUGGCGAAGGCAGCUUACUGGACUGCAACUGACACUGAGGCUCGAAAGUGUGGGUAGCAAACAGGAUUAGAUACCCCUGUAGUC
rnacentral:rRNA from 1 species